CAAAUUAUGCCUAGGGCUAAAUAUUAUUUACAUUAAUGUUUUAUUUGUGCGAUUCAAAUUAAUUUGA
rnacentral:tRNA from 1 species